GAUGAACGCUGGCGGCGUGCCUAAUACAUGCAAGUCGAGCGAACGGACGAGAAGCUUGCUUCUCUGAUGUUAGCGGCGGACGGGUGAGUAACACGUGGAUAACCUACCUAUAAGACUGGGAUAACUUCGGGAAACCGGAGCUAAUACCGGAUAAUAUUUUGAACCGCAUGGUUCAAAAGUGAAAGACGGUCUUGCUGUCACUUAUAGAUGGAUCCGCGCUGCAUUAGCUAGUUGGUAAGGUAACGGCUUACCAAGGCAACGAUGCAUAGCCGACCUGAGAGGGUGAUCGGCCACACGGGAGCUGGGACACGGUCCAGACUCCUACGGGAGGCAGCAGUAGGGAAUCUUCCGCAAUGGGCGAAAGCCUGACGGAGCAACGCCGCGUGAGUGAUGAAGGUCUUCGGAUCGUAAAACUCUGUUAUUAGGGAAGAACAUAUGUGUAAGUAACUGUGCACAUCUUGACGGUACCUAAUCAGAAAGCCACGGCUAACUACGUG
rnacentral:rRNA from 1 species